GAUGAACGCUGGCGGCGUGCUUAACACAUGCAAGUCGAACGAAGACAUCUGAGUGCUUGCACUUGGAUGGACUGAGUGGCGGACGGGUGAGUAACGCGUGGGUAACCUGCCUUAUACAGGGGGAUAACAGUUGGAAACGACUGCUAAUACCGCAUAAGCGCACGGUAUCGCAUGAUACAGUGUGAAAAACUCCGGUGGUAUAAGAUGGACCCGCGUCUGAUUAGCUUGUUGGUGAGGUAACGGCCCACCAAGGCGACGAUCAGUAGCCGGCCUGAGAGGGUGACCGGCCACAUUGGGACUGAGACACGGCCCAGACUCCUACGGGAGGCAGCAGUGGGGAAUAUUGCACAAUGGAGGAAACUCUGAUGCAGCGACGCCGCGUGAGUGAAGAAGUAAUUCGUUAUGUAAAGCUCUAUCAGCAGGGAAGAAAGUGACGGUACCUGAAUAAGAAGCCCCGGCUAACC
rnacentral:rRNA from 1 species